GUGUCAGCAGCCGCGGUAAUACGGAGGGUGGUUUGCUCGAGAGGAUUUAUUGGGUUUAAAGGGUGCGUAGGCGGCCCGUUAAGUCAGUGGUGAAAGCCUCCAGCUCAACUGGAGAACUGCCAUUGAUACUGACGGGCUUGAGUACAGACGAGGUUGGCGGAAUUGAUUGUGUAGCGGUGAAAUGCAUAGAUACAAUCAAGAACUCCGAUUGCGUAGGCAGCUAACUAGGCUGUAACUGACGCUGAGGCACGAAAGCGUGGGGAGCGAACAGGAUUAGAUACCCUGGUAGUCCACGCUGUAAACGAUGAUUACUCGAUGUCGGCGAUAAACUGUCGGCGUCUUAGCGAAAGCGUUAAGUAAUCCACCUGGGGAGUACGCCCGCAAGGGUGAA
rnacentral:rRNA from 1 species